CAAGAUAAGUGACAUCAAGUUGGCCACACCCACCCAGUCACAUGACCACCUAGCCACACCCACCCACCCAGUCAUUAGGCAGAUCAUAUUAGUGGUCCGCAGGAUUUAAAAUUGUGAAUUUAGUGGUCCCUGAGGUCCAAAAGGUUGAGGACCUCUGUUCUAGAAGAACUGGGACCACAAAUCCUAUACAGAAAUCCAAUGCCUAUCCACUUAUAUAAAUCCAUCCAUAAAAGGAGCACUAGGUUGUGGCAGGAUGGUCUACCCUAGGACAAUGUUGUUUCAUUCAGCAUCUUGCCCAGCAAUAUAUAACCCGUGGUGGGAAACAGAACAGAGAAUCAGGGUGUGAGUUUCUGUUUACAACCAGGAAUGGGCAAUCUGCAGCCCCAGGAGCAUAGGCAGGACUCAACCAGUUUCAAGGCUGAUUGCAAGUGAUCAGUUUACAGUUAUGGCAAGAACAACCUGACUUUCUUGUUUGCAAAGAGGAAGAGACAUAGAGGACCCUUAAAAAGAGAGAAAAGGGAAACCCUCGAGAGAAGGGGGGGAAAUGGAUAACUCUGCCCUAUAUUGCCAUGUGACGUAACCCAAACUUGGUUUUCAAGACUUCCUCACCGAGAGAGAACUGGGUCAGGGGGCCUUUGUUCCCUACAGGGCUUGAGUUUGCAAAAUGAUGUUUUUUAUACUCUUAACGAGAAAAAAAAAGCUUUAAGUAGGACAUGAGGAAUGGGGAUUCUGUAUUUUCAGGAGCAGAAUUUUUCAGGUUUCAUACAAUUAGUCCCCUGGGUUUCUGCAAACCCUUCAGAACCCUUGUCCUUCAUCAUGUACUUCUCUUCAUUCUCUUUCCCAUCCCAUUUCCACACAAGUUCUCAACUGUGCCUCAGCUACAGAAAUAGAAUUACCAGUUUCAGGAUUAAGCUGCAUUGUUCACAGCUCGGCUAUGAACCUGUAAAACAAUCUGCUAAGGAUAAGUUGGAAGUGAGGAAAGCCUGAAGCAAUUCUGUUUCCAGGGUCUUUACAUCUGAUAUUCCCAUCCCUUGUCUCUUCUUAAUGCCUGUAUUAUGGAGAAAACAAUGGCUACAAGUGUAGGAACUGCAGGCCAGUGCUAUAGCUCUGAGCAGGGGAAAGAAAGAACAACUUAUUUUGCUCUGAUCCAAAGCAACUUAAAAGGCCUCCACAAUGUAUAAAUGGCAAGAACUGGCAGUAGCUCAACUGCCUUGCUGUGCCCUUCACAAUAACAAAGUAAAGUAUGCAUAAGCAAUGAACUGAAAGCAACAAUAGAAAGCAUGUUAUGUAUCAACACACCCUCUCACACCUCCCCCUUUCCUCCUGUGAACGCAGCGAAUGAGCAGAGCCCUGUUCCUGUCUUCAUAUUCCAAGGUCUUUGGAGGCAACAAACCUAUAGGAGACCCUACGACUUCUAAAGUUAUCCAAGUUGCACAGAUUAAGAAACAUGGACUGGAGAAGAUUCAGACUUCACCCUUAAUGGACCCAGAAAGGGAGGAUUUGAUUGCAUGCGCUGAACGAAGAGGUGAACAUAAGAUCAAGCAACACUUUUUUUCCAGGGAAAAGCUAACAUCCUGUGUCAGCCUGACUAGGGCUUGAAGUAUGGUAAACAGAGCAUCUGUCAUAACCGCAUCCUCACACUGCUGUCCAGCAACCUCCGUCAUCAGGAACAAGCACUUCACAACAAUUUGACAAGAAGCAGAUGGCAGCUCCAGGGGCUGCAGCUCCAGUCCGGCUGUUUGGCAGCCUCUCUUUUCUCUCUGCUCUAGGCUUGGUCCUCGGAAGCUCUUGGAUCGCAGCAGCCUCACCAGCUUCCUCCAUCAACACAGCGAGAGGGGAGCAUUGUGCCAUGAAAGAUGGAGGGAGAGGUAGAAGCUAAGUAUAGCACGGGUAAUCUAUGAAGCCAACUUGAAGCAGAGACACAGUAACCCUCCAAAACGAACAACAAACUUGUGUCUUCUUUUCCACCCACCCCAGCUAUCACAUUUGUUAAAACGAAAUGCGGGGAACAAGGAAGAGAAGGAAAAAAUGGCAAAGAGAUUUUUUGUAGCAUUUUUCAGACCCUGAAAGGCAGCGCUGGUUAAGAUAUCAGCAGCAAUAUGCUUUGUGUUUGAAGCCCUGCUGAGGCUUAGAAAUUUUCCAGAUACCCUAAUUUCACAGUGUAAUAUGCACUCCUGUAUAUGCCGAUGCACUUUUCUCAUAUUAUCAACAAUCAAAUCCUCAUUUUCUCAUAUUAUCAACAAUCAAAUCCUCAAUAGCUCCGCAUUCAUUUUUGCUAUAGCUGAGCCUGUCUAAGUUCUAAAUCCGUAGUUAGAUUGGAUAGAUUGACAGAUUCAAGACUGGCAACCAUUAGGAAAUUAUAUAGAUCAAAACCUCAAAUGGGUAAGGUCUUUGUUUCAGGAAGCUUGCCAAAUGCAUUAUAUUCAGCCUGAGAAUAAAUUUGGAUUGAUGAAUGAAAAAUAAUAGCCAAAUUUGGGAAUGAGCUGCAAUGAGUUCAAAGGCAAACCAAAGGACAUUAUACCCUUGUUCAAAUAGUUUCCAAAGGAGAGGAAACUGCAAAUGUAGAAAAAAGAUAAAUGAAGAGCAGGUUCAAGAAUUAUUUGUUAUUGAUGGUGGCAUCUAUAGCUGUUUUCCUCAGUGCAACUUCUUCUUCUUCUUUUUAAAGCAUCCUAAACCACAAUGUUUAUAAAUCGGUAUUUGGCUAAGGCGACAUAUGAUCGCUUAACAGGCCAAGCUUAUGUACAUUGAGCUGUGUUUUGGACUAUGGUUAUGAUGUUACUUACACUGCAGAUCUGAAUUGAUUCAGUAUCACUUCCUUUCCUCUUGGAGCUCUAGGAACUUCCAUUUCUAUAAUGGAAGAAAAAGUGAUGGGCUACAUCCAGGGAUGGGCUGCUGGGGGUUUGCAGGGGUUUGGGAGAACCUCUAGCUAAGAUUCUAUGCAGAUCAGAGAACCCCCAAAUCCCAUUCCUGGCUGGCCCUGCCCCACCCACCCCACUCAUCCCAGGAGUCCCUACACGGCCCAUUUUGGAUGCAGGUAAGUGCAGGGCAUGCAUGGAAGCUAGGGGAGGGUGAAAAAUGGGCCUACUGGAAAUUCGGGAAGGGCAGAAAGAGCCCAUUUCUGGCCUCCAGAGGGCCUCCAAAGCUGGGGAGGCUGUUUUCGCCCUCUCAGAGACUCAAGGAAAGCCUCCGGAGCCUGGGAAGGGCCAAAAUGUCCCCCUUCCCCGCUAUGGUGGCUGACUAGGCCACACCUACCAUGGCCACGCCCACCCAGCAACUGGGGCAGAGAACCCCUUGCUAAAAUUUUUGAAGCCCACUCCUGGCUACAUCCCUAUAUAAAACAUAUAAACCUGGAUUUCAGUAUUAUUGAACAAGUCAGAGUCUUGUUCAAUAAUACUGCUAAGACAUAAGGUUCAUAUGUCAUGUCUAUGGAGAUUCUAGGUUAGGUAUCUACUCAGGUGAUCCUGAGGACACAGAUAAACCUCCAAGUGGCCUCAACAACUCUCUAAAACAAUGCAAAUGGCCAGUGUCUGCAAGGAAUAUCAAACCUUCCAUUCCCCAGCAUCCAGUCAGAGCUGAAGAAUGGAUGACAAGUGAAAGAAAAAACAAGAAAGUCCAGUUGCCUCUUGAAGAAAGUUCAUAUGUCAUGCUGGGUCAAAAGGCAACCAAUGAAGUAUGUUAUGUCUUAGUUCUCUGUGUAAACCAGGCCGUUGGCUAGGGAUAGUAUGGGAUGUGGCAGGGAUAGCAAUAGCAAUAGCACUUAGACUUAUAUACCACUUUAUAGUGCUUUACAGCCCUUCCUAAGUGGUUUACAGAGUCAGCCUAUUGCCCCCAACAAUCUGGGUCCUCAUUUUAGCCACCUUGGAAGGAUGGAAGGAUGGGUCAACCUUGAGCCUGGUGGGAUUUGAUCUGCCAAAUUGCAGUCAGCUGGCAGUCAGCAGAAGUAGCUUGCAGUACUGCACUCUAACCACUGCGCCACCGAGGCCCUUGAAAAGGUUCAGUUUUUCCUAAAUUUAUUUCUCAGAAUUGGUUAUGGCAGCCUUCCUCAAUCAGGGAUCUUUUGGAUGUAUUAGGACUUCAAAUGUCUAGGCAACUCGGUUGUAGGGUUGGUGUUAUGGCAGUUGUACCACAGAACACUUGGAAACAAUAGCAGGGGAAGAUUUAGAGCAGGCUGAGGAAUUCUGGGAGUUGAAGUCCACACCUUAAGAUUGUUGAAAUUGAGAAAAAAAUACUGCUUUAGACAAAUCUAUUACAAUGAAGCAGUUUGUUCUGAUACAGAUACAGUGCAAUCAUGUGCAAUGAUGAUUUUUAGGAAAGUCAUCUGCUACAGCCAGAUAGGUGACUGAUAUAAAAAACAGCCUAAAAACAGAAAAAACAGUUGCUACCAACCUGCCUUCCAUUGAGGACCUGUAUACUGCACCAGUCAAGAAGAGGGCCGUGAAAAUAUUUACAUAUCCCUCACAUCCUGGACACAAACUGUUUCAACUCCUACCCUCAAAAU